UGGGUUCCAGGACAACCAGGGCGACACAGAGAAACCCACUCAAAACAUAAAACAAACAAGCAAACAAAAGACUAUUAUCCUGAACCAAAUCAAACUUUGGCCUGCUAAUGCAAACAGAUCCCAUUCACCAGAGCUCCUUGAGGAUGGAUAUUCCUGCUGUGUCCUGAGAAUAUUCUACCAAUGAGGGAGAAGGAGCUGGAAGCCAGCUGUCAACUUAAAGAGAUCCAGGAAACAGGAAAGCACAGGCAUGCACCCAACGGAUUGUGUACCACCAGGAAAGGACUGGAAGAAUAAAACCCACCCAGACUGGCAUACCUCCAGUAGAGAAGAGGAAGAAUGUUAUAUGACCUCGUGGGAGAGCUGGAGCUUCCCAGGUUAUUGGGAAGGAUGAAUUGCUGAUGCUUAACCAAGGCCUGAGACCUUUCAGUGCACAGAUCCUGCUCAGGAAGGCUUCUUCACACCUGCGAAGUUUCUGAGGUUUAUGAAGUCUGACCCUUAGCCGAGAGUAUCUCUAGAAAGUUGUGCCAGGAAAGGAGGCCACUGACAAUCAUCUUAAAAUGUCAGACUCUGAUAUGAAUCCAGUGCCUCUGGGCUCCAGGCUGCCUCUCGGUCCCUCUUUGGCAGCAAUACCUGUCCUUCCCAAGGACAGACAGACGGCAAGGACAUCCAGAAGAAGGAAGCAGCUGGCAACUGAUCAACAGCAGCUGUCACAAAGACCCAAGUCCCCAACAAGACCCAAGUCCCGAAUCCCAGCUACUGCCAGAAUGAGAAGCAGCCUGAUUUUGGUAACACAGAGCAAGCCACGUAUUAUGAGAAUGAUUGUCAGUGAAGAAAAGAUAUCUUGCCAGCCAUGGUGGCGCACCCUUUAAUCUCAGCACUCAGGAACAGAGGCAGGCGGAUUUCUAUGAAUAGGAGGCCAGCCUGGUCUAACCUACCAAGUCCCAGGCCAGCCAGGGUGACAUGGUAAGACCCUGUCUAAAAACAAAGACUGAGAAAGAGAGAUGUCCUAUAUAACCUGUACCUAUACCAAUGGGGCAGGGAUAGUGAGGCAAUAUGUGUUUAUUUCUAAUUAGUCUGGCUGGGGAUGUUCUAUUAAAACAUGGCCUUUCUUGUUCUAAUAAAAAUUACCUUUGUUUUUUAUAUAAAUUAUUCCAUAAAACAUAAAGGUGUUCUUAACAUUGUCACCAUUUCUUGUUAACUACAAAAGCCUCUUUCAUUUAAUAAUGUAAAAAUGUUUGAAUAAAUAUUAUCAGUGUAUUUAGUGAACAUAAGACAUGAUUUAUAUCAAUCAUAAAAUCUGUAUGGGAAUAGACCUGUGCAGUCCCACACCUACUAUGUUAUAUGUACUCAUUAAAUCAUAUCCAUAAGGACAAGAAGGGGGUCAAACAAGUUUGCAUGAAAAUCUGGAAGAAGCCAGAAUGACUGUUGAGCUUCUAGCAUGGGAACAGUGUACCCUGGGUAGGAUAUGGCAUUCUGGGUUGUCUGGUGCCACUCCUCAUUUUGUCUGCGUUAAUUGUGAUGGCUGAGAGUGGUACAAAACAAGUUUUGCUCAUAGAUACAUGACUACAUCUAAAACAGGCACUUAGAAGAAGCUGCUUUUGCUAAAAAGGCAAUGGCGCACCUCACUUGGGCCCACAAGGUAGUAAAAGCCAGAUGGGAAGCCAGCUCUCUGCUUUCAUUUGGGGUCUGUCUCCUUUACUUUAUGUUAGAUUCCUGCUGCAUGCUGCAGACAUGAUAAGACUCAAAGAUGGUCUUCUGUCUAACCCAUCUCAUCAAAAAUAAGUCCUGGUCAUAAACCUGUAGCACCCUAGAUGCCAAGAACAAGGAGGACCUGGCAGGAAGGACCACACUCCCACACGAGGGCAAUUGUCUAUGACAGGAGGCUGCACCCCGGAGCAGGACUUGAUUAUCUCAGAAGAAUCGGAUCAAUCCCCUCCAGCUAUGGCUAGGAUAAUGUCUUAGAUCACCCGGCUGAACCAGAGCUAAUAUAAUGAUUUACCAGGCCACACUUUGACCAGGGCUGUUUAAUUAUACAGACCUCUUGUUCCUUGCCUCAGACCUUCCUCUCUUUAAACCUAAAGCUCUUGUCAGUCCCCUGAAGCCGACUUGAGAGUCACUGAACCCCUUUAUCUGUUUGUCCCCACUGCAGCCACAUUGAAUAAAUCUCCACUCUGCUUUUCACCAUUUCUCAUCCCUUUAAUUGGCAUAUUGCGAUGAUUGCCUGAGCCUCCCUUGUCAGAAAUGCAGGAAACUGAGGCUUUUACAUUAAAACACUGGUUACAAAAUCUGCCUGGUAGCAUUUCAAUUGAUCCUUCAGCCAUACCUCUGGGGGACAGGGCCGUCACCAGUUUAUGACCACUUGUAAAUUCACCUCAAUAAUCUUUACUCUACAGAAGUCAAUGCUUCAUUAACUCUACUUGAACUGCCUGUAGUAUGGUUUGAUUAAUGAGUUUCAUCAAAUAUUUUAUGAGUUCAUUUUAGAUUUGCAUGAGAUGCAUGGAUUUACCCUUUGUUUUAAAGCUAUCUUUUGGGGCUGGGAAUACAGUUCAGGCAGCAGAGUGCUUGCCUAGGAUGCAGAAAGCUGUAGGUUCAAUCCCAAA